ACAGCAGUUCGAUUAGCAUGAAGAGUUUUGGACCGUUGGAUGACAAGAACUCGAACAUUGUUCAAGCACUCAUAUUAAAGAAUGUCUUGUGUUGGUAAUCUUACUUUGAAGGCUGAAAAUCGGGAGGGAUCCCAGGGUUCUGCUGUUUGAGCACUCCUCAGAUCUGGACCGUGAAGGCUGGCUUUCUUUCAAGGCUCUGCUUGAUCAAUCUCUUAUUUUAAAACAGAAUAAGAAUCUCGUUGGUUAAUCACUCCAUGAUGUCCAUCCAAUCAAGAAGAAGAACCCACUCACUCAGAAGAUCCGAAUUCCAGGGCGUCUUCCUCAUCGAAUUCUCCGCAUGGAGGAGAUCAUGAAGGGGGAGACAAACGGCCGAAAGGGAAUGCCUACGAAGUGUUCUUGAGCUUUAGAGGGAUAGACACACGCAAAAAUUUCACUGAUUAUCUCUAUACUAGUCUUAUCGACGCAGGAAUUCACGUGUGCAGAGACGACAAUGAGCUCCGUGUUGGUGAGGAGAUUGGUCCGGAGCUUCUCUGCAGCAUUACACAGUCCACGAUCUCUAUCCCAAUUAUUUCCGAGAACUACGUUUCCAGCAAAUGGUGCCUUUGUGAGCUAGUUCAGAUGUUAAAGUGCAAAAGGAGUAAAGGGCAAAUAGUGUUGCCCAUAUUUUACAAAAUGGAACCCUCACAAGUGCGACAUCCUACAGGGAGAUUGAGAGAAGCUAUUGAGGCACGUAAAAAAAGAAUACGGAGGAAAUGGUUGUGAAGGAAUGGGAAGAAGCACUCAAAGAAGUCAGCUCCUUGAAAGGAUGGGAAUCGGAGAAAAUUGACAAUGGGUACCUUAUUCUCCAACAAAAUGUUGUUUAAUUUUCAUAAAUAGAUCUUUCCUGAAAAAGAAUAGACAUAUUGCUAUCCUAAAUUGAUAUUCAU